CCCUAAAUCUACAAUCAGAAAGGGAAAGAAAGGGAACGGGGAGCUCGAGGGGGAAAACAGAAAGGGAAAAGAAAGGAAGGGGAAAGAGGGAAGGCAGGGGAAAAACGGAGGUGAAGAGAGGGAGGAGGAAGCUGCGACGCGGCCAAGACCUCACUGCUGCCGCUGUUGUGCUGCACAUGAGAGUGAGAGAGAGACACACACAGGACGAGCGUCGCGAGAAUCAAGGGAGGGAGACACGGUUCCGUCCUGUUGCCGUUGUGGGUUGCGCCUGAUCACCAUCGCAGAAGCUCCAUCGUCGCUGUUGCACAUAAGAGGAGAAGAUGAUUUCGCUGAUUUUGAUUCUGUCUAAGCCCGCAUCGUUGCUGGAAUCGCGAACCGGGGAGGAGAGGGAGGCUGCUUCCAUCGUCAUUUCAGGUGUCAGAAAAGACCGUCGCCAUUGAAGGAUCCACCGCCGCCGAAUCCCAGCCAUCAUCGCCGCCGGAGUCACCGUGGUUGCCGCUGGAGAAGUGCUAUGAAUGCCGCUGCUGAUGUUAGCACGCAAGGGGGGAAGAGCCCGUCCUUGCCGAUUCUGCCGCCGUCAAAGGGAAAAGGAAGUGAGAGCACCGGUACGGAACGCGAGAAAGGAAUCGUCGCCAAAACCGGAACAGAUUCACCGGACGGACACCCUGGUCUCUGGUUCCUAUUAUUCUGAGUACCAAAGCUGUUGCUCCAUUCCCGUCUUUCCUUGCCAUUAUUAAUUUUCCCCCCAAAGUUGCUGUUGCUGCUAUUAGAGUUGUGGUUGAUGCUGUUAUCCUCGCGUUAGAACAUGGAGGGUUGCUGCAUUUCCGAUUUUGUGUGGUUAAUGCGACAUCGAGUGACACAGGUUUGAAGACGCAACUUGAAGCUGCGAGCGAUUAGUAGGUUUUCUUUAUGGUUUUAAUUGGUCUGGUAGAGUCCCCUCGCCGAUUGUCCCUUGAGAUUUUGUUUCAUAUAGAGGGGUAUGUUUGGUAUAUUGUAUUUGAGUUUUAUUUGGUUUCUUUUGUAUAAGAAUUAUUAUCAAUAAUAUUUAUGUGAUUACUAUUGUUUGUUGGAAACCUAUGAUAUAUGUCUUUAAAGAACAAAAACAAAAUUUUCUAGCAUUUCCUUAAAACUGAAACGCGAAAUCGAUACAAAGGCUCAGUAAUUAAGUAGUUAAUAUUAGAAAAGGUCACGUAACGUUCUUUCUAGUAGAAAUACCCUGACUUAAGCAAGGUAUUUUGCUGGAAGGGAUGUUACAUGUUCAGCCUGAUCUGGAGGAGCCAGAGAAAAUAGAGGAACCUCUGAAAAUUCCUCAAUUAGAAGAAAAGCCUCCCAAACCUGAGCUCAAACCACUACCACCAUCCUUGAAAUAUGCAUUUCUAGGAGAAGACAACACUUUUCCUGUGAUAAUAAGCUCUACCUUAAAGCCACAGGAAGAGGAAGCACUGGUUCAAGUGCUAAGGACACACAAGACAGCUCUUGGGUGGUCCAUCAGUGAUCUUAAGGGCAUUAGCCCAGCCAGAUGCAAGCACAAGAUUCUCUUGGAGGAUAAUGCUAAGCCAGUGAUUCAACUACAAAGGCGACUGAAUCCAGCCAUGAAGGAAGUGGUGCAGAAAGAGGUCACUAAAUUACUAGAGGCUGGGAUUAUUUAUCCAGUUUCUGAUAUCCCCUGGGUGAGCCCUGUCCAAGUCGUCCCCAAGAAGGGAGGCAUGACAGUAGUUCAUAAUGAGAAAACUGAACUGGUUCCCACAAGAACAGUUACAGGGUGGCGCAUGUGUAUUGACUACAGAAGACUCAAUAUAGCCACCAGAAAGGAUGAUUUUCCUUUACCAUUCAUAGACCAGGUGCUAGAAAGACUACCAGGUCAUGAUUAGUACUACUUUUUGGAUGGCUAUUCAGGCUACAACCAAGUUGCAGUAGAUCCCCAGGAUCAAGAGAAAAUAGCAUUCACAUGUCCAUUUAGAGUAUUUGCCUACAGAAGGAUGCCAUUUGUGCUGUGUAAUUGACGAUUGGAUUUUUGACGGUUUAGAAUUUUACAAAUGAAAUCUCGUCGAAGUAUAGUCUCUAAACCAACAAUAAUCCUCUCAUACAAAAAUUUGUU